rnacentral:rRNA from 1 species
GACGAACGCUGGCGGCGUGCUUAACACAUGCAAGUCGAACGGUAAGGCCCUUCGGGGUACACGAGUGGCGAACGGGUGAGUAACACGUGGGUGAUCUGCCCUGCACUUCGGGAUAAGCCUGGGAAACUGGGUCUAAUACCGGAUAGGACCACUGCCUGCAUGGGUGGUGGUGGAAAGCUUUUGCGGUGUGGGACGGGCCCGCGGCCUAUCAGCUUGUUGGGGGGGUGAUGGCCUACCAAGGCGACGACGGGUAGCCGGCCCGAGAGGGUGACCGGCCACACUGGGACUGAGAUACGGCCCAGACUCCUACGGGAGGCAGCAGUGGGGAAUAUUGCACAAUGGGCGCAAGCCUGAUGCAGCGACGCCGCGUGAGGGAUGACGGCCUUCGGGUUGUAAACCUCUUUCAGCACCGACGAAGCGCAAGUGACGGUAGGUGCAGAAGAAGGACCGGCCAACUACGUGCCAGCCGCCGCAGUAA